rnacentral:rRNA from 1 species
ACUCAAAUGAAUUGACGGGGACUCGCACAAGCAGUGGAUUAUGUGGCUUAAUUCGUCGUCAAACGAAGAACCUUACCAAGGUUAGAAAUGCUACUGCAUUCUUUCUGAAAGGAGAGAAGCCUUCGAGGGUGUAGCACAGGUGAUGCAUGGUCGUCGUCAGUUCGUGGUUUGAACUGUUCCCUUCAGUGGGGUAACGAACGCAACCCCCGUUGUCUGUUGCCUAUAUGGCCAGGCGAGACUGCUCCCUCACGGGAGAGGAAGGUGGGGAUGACGCCAGAUCAGCAUGUCCCUCUGAUACCUUGGGCUGCACACAUAAUACAAUGGGCGGUACAACGGGUUGCAAUGCCGUAAGGCGGAGCUAAUCCUUAUAAAACCGCCCUCAGUACGGAUUGAGGUCUGCAACCGACCUCAUGAAGCCGGAAUUGCUAGUAAUCGCAGGUCAGCUAAACUGCGGUGAAUACGUUCUCGAGUCUUGUACACACCGCCCGU